UAGAUGGCUGAUCUGGUGUGG
rnacentral:miRNA from 2 species